rnacentral:rRNA from 1 species
CCUACGGGUGGCAGCAGUGGGGGAUAUUGCACAAUGGGGGAAACCCUGAUGCAGCGACGCCGCGUGGGUGAAGAAGCGCCUCGGCGCGUAAAGCCCUGUCAGCAGGGAAGAAAAUGACGGUACCUGAAGAAGAAGCCCCGGCUAACUACGUGCCAGCAGCCGCGGUAAUACGUAGGGGGCAAGCGUUACCCGGAUUUACUGGGUGUAAGGGGGGCGCAGACGGCGAUGCAAGCCAGGAGUGAAAGCCCGGGGCCCAACCCCGGGACUGCUCGUGGAACUGCGUGGCUAGAGUGCAGGAGGGGCAGGCGGAAGUCGUGGGGUAGCGGUGAAAUGCGUAGAUAGCAGGAGG